GGUCCUUUGGCCCAAUGGUAAGGCGUCUGACUACGAUACAGUAUCAAUCAGGAGAUUCUGGGUUCGAGCCCCAGGAGGACCU